CCCUGCCAUUUGUACACACCGCCCGUCGCUCCUACCGGUUGAAUGGCCAGGUGAACUUAUUCGGAUGUAACUUUUCAAGUUACAGAAGGUAAGUAAAUCUUGCCAUUCGCAGGAAGGAGAAGUCGUAACAAGGU
rnacentral:rRNA from 1 species